rnacentral:rRNA from 1 species
UACGUAGGGUGCAAGCGUUGUCCGGAUUUAUUGGGCGUAAAGAGCUCGUAGGCGGUUUGGCAAGUCGGGUGUGAAAACUCCAGGCUCAACCUGGAGAUGCCACCCGAUACUGCUAUGACUUGAGUCUGGUAGGGGAGCACGGAAUUCCUGGUGUAGCGGUGAAAUGCGCAGAUAUCAGGAGGAACACCGGUGGCGAAGGCGGUGCUCUGGGCCAGUACUGACGCUGAGGAGCGAAAGCGUGGGGAGCAAACAGG